rnacentral:lncRNA from 1 species
GUAGCAACUUGUAUACAGAGAUUUAUGGUAACAACUUGUAUACAGAGAUUUACGGUAGCAUUAUACACAGCAGCCAAAAGGUGGAAACAACCCAAGAUCAUGAAUUAAAAAAAUGUGCUACAUCCGUAAAUAGAAUAUUAUUCAGUCAUAAAAAGGGAAGGGGUAGGGAUAGAUGGCACAUGUGGAUAAAACUUGAACCCAUGACACCAAAUCGAAGAGACCCAUCACAAAAAGACUACAUAUUGUAUGAUUCCAUUUUUAUGCGGGGUGAAGGGGGUAUAGUAGCUAGACGGUACAGGGCUGCUAAUGUGAUGGAAAUGCUCUGAAAUUAACUCUGCUGACAGUUCCAUGUAUCUAACUAUAUUUUUAAAAACCACUGAGUUUUACACUUUAAAUGCAUGAACUCUACGGCAUAUGAACUAUCUCAAUAAAGCUUUUUAAACAGUAGGUGAAGAAAGCACUAUUCAAAAUCUUUUUUUUCCCCUAUGAUUGCAAAUAUACUUAUGAAUGCCUUUUUUUCCUCUCUUUGGUCACACCCUUGGCAUGCAGAAGUUCCUGGGCCAGAGACUGAACCCAGGCCACAGGUUAAGGACAAUGCCAGAUCCUUAACCUGCUGAGCUGCAGAAGAACUCCCUGGAUGCCUAUAUAUUUAUUUUUUUUUAUUUUGUAUUUUGUCUUUGUAGGGCUGCACCUGUGGCAUAGGGAGGUUCCCAGGCUAGGGAUCCAAUCGGAGCUACAGCUGCUGGCCUACACCACAGCCACAGCAACGCCAGAUCCUUAACCUACUGAGCAAGGCCAGGGAUCAAACCCACAUCCUCAUGGAUACUAGUUGGGUUCGUUAACCACUGAGCCACGACAGGAACUCCAAAUGCCUAUUUUUGAAAGAGCAUUAAAGAGUUGGUUGGUGGCUCAGCAGGUUGAUGACCCAGCAUCGUCACUGCUGUGGCUCUGGUUACAGCUAUGGCACAGGUAGAUAAACAAGAAUUUACUGUAUAGCACAGGGAACUACAUUCAAUCUUGUAACAAACUAUGGUGGAAAAGGAUAAAAAAGAAUAUAAAUACAUGUAUAUGCAGCACAUAGAUAUAUACAUAUAUUGCUGUACACCUGAGACUAACAAUACUGUAAAUCAACUACACUUCAAUUAAAAAUAAAGGGAGGGUUUUUUUGUUUUUUGUUUCUUUUGCUUUUUUAGGGUCGUACUCGCAGCAUAUUGAAGUUCCCAGGCUAGGGGUCGAAUAGGAGCUACAGCUGCCAGCCCAUGCCAGAGCCACACCAACACAGGUUCCAGGCCUCAUCUGUACCUACACACAGCUCACCACAACACCGGAUCCUUAACCCACCGAGUGAGGCUGGGGAUCGAACCUGCAUCCUCAUGGUUUCUAGUCAGAUUCGUUUCCACUUGGCCACGACAGGAACUCCAUAAAGGAGAUUUAAAAUAGAAUUCAAGAAAACAACGGGUUUGUAAGGCAAGUAGUAAUGUACAAAUUUUAAAAAUUCACUUCUAUACUGUCAUUAGGGAAACAAAAAUGAAAACAAAAUCUAUAAAUGAAAUCACAUAAUAAAAGGCAAAUGCUUGGUUCGUUACAAAUACUCAACACUUGGCAUCAUCUCUCGCUCUGAGAUUCAGAAAGGACACAGCCACUCACUGCAGAAAGACGUGGAGAUGCAACUCAGCCGCACCCUGGCGAUUUUCUCUGUUCUCUGGGGAAGGGCGGAGGCACGGAGGACCAGACAGGGGAGAGGAAACGGAGACGCAAGAGAAGGGCAGGAGGUCCCCAGCUGGUCUGGCGUGUUUGUGAAAAUCAGAGGCAGGUACCUUCCACCCAAAAGACGCAGCCCCACACGCCUCGGUGAGUGGCGUGUGGGCUGGAGUCCAGCUACCACCAGGUCACCUUGGACGGGCACCAGCCGCACAGCUGUGUCCAACAGCUGGUCCCAGCGCCCCUAGGCCAGCCAGUGGGUUAAGGAUCUUAACCCACAGCAUUGCUUCGAGCUGUGGUGUAGGCUGCAGACAUGGCUUGGAUCUGGCGUUGCUGUGGCUCUGGUGCAGCCUGGUGGCUACAGCUCUGAUUUGACCCCUAGCCUGCGAAUCUCCUUAUGUUGUGGGUGCAGCCCUAAAAAAAAACCAAAAAAAGUCCAGGUUCAAAUCAUGGCCGUGCUACUCAAGUGGUCGAGUAACGUUGGUUUUAAUCUGUCAUCAGCAAAUUUGAGGAUUCUGAUUGUGUCCUCUGAGGAUAGUUGUGAAGAUUGGACAGGUGGCAGGUGAGUUGCUCUACUCUGGGGACCCAUUUCCUGGCAGUUGCCCAGAAGCAGUUGCUGUUCUGCAUCCCUUUUUUUUUUUUUUUUUUUUUUUUUUUUUGUCUCUUUGCCUUUUUGUCUUUUUAGGGCUGCUCCCUUGGCAUAUGGAGGUUCCCAGGCUAGGGGGUUCGAAUCAGAGCUGCAGCUGCCGGCCUAUACCUCAGCCACAGCCACUGGGGAUCCGAGCUGCAUCUGUGACCUACACCAGAGCGCACGGCAACACCAGAUCCUUAACCCACUGAGCAAGGCCAGGGAUCGAAC